rnacentral:rRNA from 1 species
UACGUAGGGGGCAAGCGUUGUCCGGAUUUAUUGGGCGUAAAGAGCGUGUAGGCGGCUUAGUAGGUCCGCUGUGAAAACUCGAGGCUCAACCUCGAGAUGUCGGCGGAAACCACUUGGCUAGAGUCCGGAAGAGGAGAGUGGAAUUCCUGGUGUAGCGGUGAAAUGCGCAGAUAUCAGGAAGAACACCUAUGGCGAAGGCAGCUCUCUAGGACGGUACUGACGCUGAGACGCGAAAGCGUGGGGAGCGAACAGG